AAUGAACGUUGGCGGCGUGGAUUAGGCAUGCAAGUCGAGCGGAAAGGCCCCUUCGGGGGUACUCGAGCGGCGAAAGGGAGAGUAACGCGUGGAUACCUGCCCCUGGGUCCGGAAUAGCUGUGGGAAACCGCAGGUAAUGCCGGAUGACGUCCCCGGACCAAAGGUGUGAUUCCGCCCGGGGAGGGGUCCGCGUCCUAUUAGCUUGUUGGUGGGGUAACGGCCCACCAAGGCGACGAUGGGUACCGGGUGUGAGAGCAUGGCCCGGCUCACUGGGACUGAGACACUGCCCAGACACCUACGGGUGGCUGCAGUCGAGAAUCUUCGGCAAUGGGCGAAAGCCUGACCGAGCGACGCCGCGUGCGGGAUGAAGGCCUUCGGGUUGUAAACCGCUGUCAGAGGGGAGGAAAUCGACAGGGGCUAUCCCCUGCCGUUGACCUAGCCUCAGAGGAAGGACGGGCUAAGUUCGUG
rnacentral:rRNA from 1 species